rnacentral:rRNA from 1 species
UACGAAGGGGGCUAGCGUUGCUCGGAAUCACUGGGCGUAAAGGGUGCGUAGGCGGGUCUUUAAGUCAGGGGUGAAAUCCUGGAGCUCAACUCCAGAACUGCCUUUGAUACUGAGGAUCUUGAGUUCGGGAGAGGUGAGUGGAACUGCGAGUGUAGAGGUGAAAUUCGUAGAUAUUCGCAAGAACACCAGUGGCGAAGGCGGCCUACUGGGUCAGUA